rnacentral:misc_RNA from 1 species
AAAUAAAUGAUCUUCUAGGCUCUUGUUAGGCAUAUAUUCAUAAACCAAUAGCCGCUGGAUCCCUCUUUCAUUAUCUUCUGAGCAGUAACCUAGAAGUUUUACUAGGUUUGGGUGACUAACAACUCCAAGAAAUUGAACUUCUGCAAGCCAUUGUUUAUGGCCCUGCAAGCCAUACUUGUUGAGCUUCUUUAUGGCAACUGGUACGGAAUCUCCUUGACCAUCGGCAGGCCGAAUUGUUCCCUUAUACACACUCCCAAAACCACCUUCUCCAAUCUUGUUAGAAGGAUCAAAGUCAUUAGUGGCAGCUAUGAUUUGUUUCAACGAAAAGGUCCCUGUUGGCAAAUCAUGUCCUUCAUGGAUAGAUGACAACACAAGUCAGCAAGUCACCUCUAACAGGUUCUAGCAAGAAAUGUUCUAUUAAUAAAGCAAAGCAGGCUGCAAGCCUGUUGGGAAGGAUAUCUUUCAUCCAACUACAUAGGCAUCUACAAACUUUCUUUCCCUUUUCAGAAAACAAGAAUGCUACAUUUAUGAACCAUCUAACCCACCAAACAUUUAAGUAGCAUUUGGUUCGUUGCUAAAAGAAACUUUUUCCUUUUAAUCCUUUGAAAGCAAAAAUUAAAAAGCAUCGUUACAAUGCACAUUCAAAAUUGAUUUGUUGGAAGCAAGAAAAGUAAGAAAAUUGCUUUUUAUAUAAAGCAUAAAAAUUUACUUUUUUAAAAAAGGCAACAUCCGAAUUAACCCAACCUCCACAAACACCACUUCAUAUAAAUAAAAUAUUAAUAGAAAUACUAAAAGUUGCCUUUAAAAAAAAAAGAAAUACUAAAAGUAAAAAAAAUAUAUGUUUACCAAGAUUCCAUUUGUUUCACAAAAAAUAACGAGUAUAUGAAAAAUGUUUAUAAGUGUUUUGAUAUUUUAAUAAGACUAUCAAAAUGUAGAAAAUAGAAAAUGACUUCUCUUUGGAAAAGAGGAAAUCAUUUUCCUUAAAAAUGACUUAUUUUCCUUUGACUAGAAUAUAUUUUCCAUUGACCCAUUUUCCUGAGUGCUCCAAACUUUAGAAAAUGCAUAAAAUAUUUUCUAAAGAAAUAUUUUCCGUGAAACAAAAAAAUGGAGCCCAAAUAAGCUUUUUGAUUAUUGCUUUUGGUUUGAAGCAAAAAUCAAGAAAUAUAAAUAGCAAUUUUUAAAAAGCAAAAAGUUGAACCAAACAGCAGCUUAGAUUAUUAACUUUGCACUGCAACCUUAUUAAUCAAUAUAAUGUUGUAGUCACUAAACUGUCAAGUGUAUCAUAUAAACCUAUGAUUUAUUUAGAUCUUAUGUUUAAGCUCUGUUUGUUUCACAAAAAAAAUUUUCCACAUUUUCUAAUGUUUGGAGCGUUAAGAAAAAUCAUUCAACAAAAAAUAUUUCCUGAUCAAAGAGUAAACUAUUUAAUUUUCAAGAAAAAUGACUUGACUUGUUUUAAAAAAGGAAGUCAUUUUCCAAACUUUGACAAACUUAUUAAAAUGCAUUUAAACUUAUAAACACAUAAUAUAAAUACAUACCAAUAUGUACUAGCACCACCAGUCAUCUUUCACCACCAACAGCCACCACCAGCUGCUGGGAACCAAUGGCAGCCACUGGCAAAUUGUAGUAGCUGAGCAUAAUUUACCAUUCUUAUGUUUUUUUUUUUUUUCCUUAUAUUCAAUAAUAAAUAGUUAAAAGACAAAGGCAUUAUAGUACAAACAUUUUUAUAGUAUUAUUAAUUGAAACAAAAAAAAUAAGUCAACAUUUUCCAAUGUACACCAGAUAUUGAAAAAUAAUUUCCCUUUGUUUUUUUAGCAUUGCAAGCAAACAAAUGAAAAUCAGUUAUUUUCUCAGAAAAUAUUUUUCUUGGAAAAAUUUUUUCACAGAUUAUUUUCCAUGAAAACAAAUGGAGCCUUAAAUCACACAAGCAUGCUAUUGAAAAGAAGAAACACUACUCCAAUUAGGAAUUCUACUAAACCAGGGACAUGAAGUUGGGUAACUUAAGUCUAAUUUCUGUUUUCUGUUUAUUUGCAAAAAGUGCAUUAACCUUUUCUUUUGCCCCAUUUUCCUGGUAAAUAGCCUCGCCACCAAAGAAUUCCCAGUACAAUGAAAAUCAGGCAUGAUGCUCCUCCAACAACUCCAACCACAAUGUGAACAGCUUCCUUCUUUCGAACACUUGAACAAAGUUUCAGAUCAGAAGAUACAGAGAUGGCUGAUAUGAUGGGGCCAUAAACCCCUCUAUCAGGAAUCCUUGUUGUUCCUUUGCCAGCAAAGUAAAAUUGGAUCUCCAAGAUAUUAUUGGUCACACUGACAUUAGGAACUGGUAUCACUAAAGGCUUUUGGGCACCACCAAUCUCAUCUUCAAUGUUGAAAUCCUUCCUUACUAACCUUUCCUGAACAUAAAUAUCAAAUAUGCGCCUUCCGAGGCUUUUAUAUGUGCUGUCAUUUGUGAACUGGAUCUCCGCAAAGUGUAGACUCACAGUAUAAUUCCCAUUCAAUAGACACUGACGAUAAUAAGUGAGUGAAAGAGGUGAAAGGCGUGCUGUACGGUACAAUUCAUCAAUGUUUAGUGAUGAAGAAUUUUCAACAUAAGCAUUGUUUUGGAAAUCACCGUCAUCCAUGAAGUCUCCAGUGCUGCUAAUUCCCCAGUCAUCAUUACUUGGAUAAAACAGUGCAGCACCACCACCUGCUACAUCUCCUUCAUAUGUCUUUCCAUUUACGUUCACCUUUUCUCCACCACAAUUAAUGUACAAAGAGUGCCAAUCUGCCAAGAGAUGGUUAUAUUAAAGGACAACUAAAGAAUAACUAUUCAAGUGGAAUUUUGGAGGAUGUUCAUUUUGUGUCACAAGAGAUCUGAUCCUACAAGGCUACAAGUCUGCUAAAGCUAAUUUGUGAACUGAUCAAAUUGCCAUGUCACUUACAUUGAUCACAACUGAAAUUGUUUGCACAAGCUCCUCCUCUAGUUAGCCAAGUAGAGAACAAAUUAUCAUCAUCAAGUUGUUGUGCAAGGUCAACAUUAUUCAGAAUAAGACAUCUAUUUUUAAAAACCAUCUUAAAUCUAAUAAUAAGCAAGCAAGAAAAGAAACUAACAUGUCAUUUCCCAUUGAAGAACUUCUGAACAAAUUCAGACUUGGAUAUUUCUGAUUGCAAGCAGGCUGCUCAGGACUUUGCCUUGUGAAGUUAUUGUAGGAAAGAUCUACAAUUUUUCCUUUCCUCAAAAAUGGUAUAUUUCCACUCAGAAAAUUGCCACUUAGGAAUAUAAGUAACAAAGUCUCCGAGGUUAUGGCAUCGGGAAGCUUCCCAUGUAACUUAUUAAAGCUGAGGUCCAAAAGUUGCAGUGGACUUGGUUGCCAGAUGUAUGAAGGGAUUUCUGCUGAUAUAUUGCAACUUCUUAAAACCAGCCAUACGAGGCCUUUUAUGUUGCUCAGGUCAGGAAAAUUUUGAUUUGUGGUAUGUAUGUCACUAAUCCUCAAGUCUGUCAACUUCUCCAAAACAGAAAUGGAUGAUGGAAUUGGUCCUUCCAGUCCACUAGCUCGCAUUUCCAGUCUCUUGAGUUGCUUCCAGUUUUGUAUAAUAUCCGGUAUGCUUCCAUUGAAAUUGUUGUCAUUUAUCCGAAAAUCAGUCAAGUUCUUCAGUUCAGCAAGUUCCACAGGCAAAUUUCCACUCAACUUGUUGGAAGAUAGAAUCAAAUAUUCCAACUUAACUAACUUUCCAAGCUCCCGAGGGACAGUUCCUGAAAAUUGGUUUAAUUCAAGGUUCAAGUAUGUCAGACUGUUAAAAUUCCCCAAAUAUCUUGGUAUAUUCCCUGAUAACCGGUUUGCAAGAAGAGAACUGCACUUAUUGUCUUUGUCAAUUCAAUAAGAUUCCCUGAAAAUUCUGUUGACUAAAAAUAGUGAUAAAUAAGGAGAAAAGUACAUCUUACAUGGAUUUCAGUUUGAGUGAAGCCCAUUCACUUGGAAUAGAACCAUUCAGGUAGUUGUAAGCAAAAUCAAUGGUCUCGAGAUAAGGGAGCUGGAUGAGUUCAGGCGGAAGCUGUCCUGGAAGGCUGUAACGCUUGAUUACCAGGCCUGUAAUGUGGCAGGUGUCGUUUGCAAAUUUGCAGUUGCAAGAUAUGUUCCUCUCAGCAUCUGUUUGUAGAAUUGGUGGAAUAAUGUCUCCACAAUGAUCAGCAUUGAAAUUCCAGUCUUGAGCUCCCAUUUUUUUGGUAAUUUGAUUUAGAGCAUCCACCUCAUGCUGAGGCAAUAAAGCAGCGACAAAUCUCUGAGUCCCCAAGCAACAAAAAGCUAGAACUGACACGAUGACUGCUUGUUUGAGGAAGAACAUGUUUGAAACCAAAAGUAUUUCUAAUUAAAGAUUGCAAGAUAUGUUCUUCAAUGAAUUCUUCUGCCAAGCAAAAAUUAUUAUUAGUGUAGCAUUUGAUAUAUCAUUAAUUGAAUAAAGAAGCACAAGUAACUUGAAAAUUCUAAGAUAACGCCUUGACCAUCGCUUCGCACUUUCUUGGCACUUUCUUAUUAAUUGGCCUAAGCUCA